AUGAAGGCAUCAUUUGAGUUUGUUUGUUUCAGAGUCAGAGAGCGUGUCUCUGUACAGUCAGAGGUUUUUGUACGACGCUUCAACCAGUUUGUAUCACUGUGGUACACGUUUGGUGGAGGAACCAGACUGGAUGUUGGAAGUGAUGCCCCGCCCUCCCUGACCGUGCUCCUCCCCUCCACCAAGGAGCUGCAGCAGGGGAAGGCCACACUCAUGUGUGUGGCCAACAAGGGCUUCCCCUCAGACUGGACUCUGUCCUGGAAGGUGGUCGGCAGCAGCAGCAGCAACUGGGAGGAGAGCAGGAGCCCCGGGGUGCUGCAGAAGGACGGCCUCUACAGCUGGAGCAGCACCCUGAGGCUCUCUGCAGACCAGUGGGAGAAGGUGACCUGUGAGGCCAAGAGAGGAUCCCAGACUGCAGUCUCAGAGACUCUCAGGAGAGACCAGUGCUCCCAGUCCUGAACUGAAGCAUUCUGAAUAUAAAUCUGUUUUCUCUUCA